UUCCUUGAAACCAGAGCUGUGCAGUAGCGUUGUGCGCAUUCGGCCGCGCAGUCGCCGAGAGUCCCUGUGAUGACGCUCGGGUCAAACAGCGUAUUCCCCCGGAAGAGCUUCGGAAUCCCUGAACGCCCAUAGGCUGUACCAGGUGUCAAUCAUAGAAAACAUGAACCCCCUAAUAACUUUUAAAAACGGAGCUGUACAGAAAAAAGAGGACUUGGGCACAAACCAGUCUGACAGUAACUACAUGUCAACAUCACAACCAGGGGGGAGAAAAAAUUAUGUUCUGUGUAAUAAAUUUCUAAAGUUUGUCCACAGUCCCAUAAGCUUUGCUGGCGGAGGCGGGAUUUAUGACCUGUACUGCAGCCCACCAUCAGAGGGUGCUGUUCUCGGAGUGGCUUCACCCAGCGAGGAGGCAGGCUCUGUCCAUCUUAUAUACAGUCUAUGGAAAAAAAGUUUUAAAAUGUGUUAUUUAUGGUCGAUUUAGUCUGUUCUUUAAUGCACAUAAUUUUCC